AUGAGUAACCAAAUGCUUGUUCCGUUCGGUUCCUCAUCGCACUUUGGUCGCCCGUCCCGUCGAAUAGCCGCCGCCGUCGCCGUCCUUCCUGCUCUUAGACGGCUGCUCGGUGCGCCGUUCCGAUCAAGCAAUCCCGUGGCGGCCCCGAUCCAGGCAAGUCCGCCACCCUGGUCUCGCUCCUGCCGCCAGGAACUGCAAGCCCUCCGUUGCGGCGCGCCGAAGCCUCCGCUGCCCCAUCGCCCCCAGCAGCGCCUCGCUCCAUCGACAACCUGCUCGCGCCCGUCGACUCCUGCCUUCCUCCUCCCCGUUCCCUCAACCCCCACCACUCCUGCCUUCCUCCUCCCCGUUCCCUCAACCCCCGGCUCAAUCUGUAUCUAUUUGCUCUAUUAGCUCUUCUUCUUUCUGGAUCUCUUUGCUCUGAAGUACUGUCACAGUGUUGGGAACAGGUAGUAUACAUGUACAAUGUCGGAAUCAGCAGGCUCCCGGCCGGUGCAAGAUCAGAUACACGGUGUCCAGUGGGGCUGGGGAGCCGUCAGCCGUGUUCUACGCCGCGCCGCCGAGGUGAAGCAUCUGCGCAAAGGAAUGAUGGCAGAGUGCGGAUAGAAUUAAUAGGACGCGUGCUGCCGCAUUGCUGCCAUGCUCUUGCGAGUCGUGAUUGAACCGAUGAGACUUUUAUAGGCUGCUGUUUAUUUAGCUCGGUUCUGCUUCGCUAGUCGUGCUGUUUUCACUCGUAUGUAGUAUUAUUUAGCUCAGUUCUGGUCAAGUAGUUCAGCACGCUUACGGUGAUUGUUCCUUGCCCCGAAAAGUAAGAAACUGCUUUGAUUCAUUUGCUGCACUUGCAACUUAUUUUCGACCCUCUGUAAACAUUUGAUUCCUUUCUGUAGAGCCUUGAAUGUUCUGAAUAAAUUCAUUUUUUUUUGGUGUAGCUCUGAGUAUCUGAUAUGUACUUGGAAUGGAAAUACAAUAUGGAAUAUUUGUUGUCCAGAAGUAGUUUUGGUGA